rnacentral:rRNA from 1 species
GCGUGAGUGAUGAAGGCCCUAGGGUUGUAAAGCUCUUUCACCGGUGAAGAUAAUGACGGUAACCGGAGAAGAAGCCCCGGCUAACUUCGUGCCAGCAGCCGCGGUAAUACGAAGGGGGCUAGCGUUGUUCGGAUUUACUGGGCGUAAAGCGCACGUAGGCGGAUCGUUAAGUUAGGGGUGAAAUCCCGAGGCUCAACCUCGGAACUGCCUUUAAUACUGGCGAUCUCGAGUCCGAGAGAGGUGAGUGGAAUUCCUAGUGUAGAGGUGAAAUUCGU